CUCUCUUACCUCACCCUCACUCUCAUUCUCUUCACUCACCGACCCACCCUCAUCCUCACUCUCAUCAUGUGGUGGUUGUUGCUUGUCAUGGAGGAGUACGGAUCUCGUGGUGGUUGCUGUUUGUCACGGAGGAGCGUGAGAUUGUUAGAUCGGAGAGAGAUAUGAUGAUCGGAGGAGCUCUUGGUCGUGUUGAGGUCAGGCGAAGCCCAGAGAUUUGAGUUGGUCCUAGAACUCAUCUUUGAAGCAGUUGGGACCCUUGUUGGCAUUGUUGUUCUACUCCUACAGAUAAUACACGAUCUUCACCAAAUAAUCUCAAUAACACAUGAAGGAUUUCAGCAAGUUGUGCUGGUCCUAAAACUCAUUGGUAAAGUAGUUGGGUCCCGUGUCAGCCUUGUUGUUCUACUCCUACGGUUGAUACGUAUAUGCAGAAGGAUUUGGUCCAUUUUGACUGAAAGACAACCUGUUGUUGUUGCGAAUGACCACCGGAACGAUGUCCCACUUGCUGAUAUUAACUAUGGCCAGAAUGAUAUCCCACCUACUGAUGCUGAAGCUGAUGCUACCAAUGGGCAAAACGAUGUAAUUGUGAAUGAGGAAGUGAACAUCUGAACUCACCGAUUUCAAGAAACCUGUCUAUGUUCAUGUACUACCACUUUCACCACCUCCACCGUUCAUAAUAUGCUGUCUUUGUUCUUCCUGGUAGCUUUAUUAUGUGUAACAAAAUAAACCAAAUGUUUUUGGGUUUUAAUGCUUUCUUUUCAGACUUUAAUACUUGAGCUUUCUUUUCAGACUUUACUGUAAUCAAAGUGUCCUGUUAUGCUUU